rnacentral:lncRNA from 10 species
CAUUCUUCCUCCAUUAUCUCACUGCCUCCGGUGGCUGCUGGGAUACCGGAGGACUCGGGUCCCGGCUCGACUCAGUCCUCCAGCCGCCCGGGGAAUACCUCUAGUUCUUCCCGGCCGCCGCCGCCUCCGCCCCGCCGCUUCCUCCUCCGCCUGCCGGCCUCCUUCGCCCCGCCCCGUCCGCGCAGCUCGUCCGGCCCGCCCGCAGGCCAGCUUCUCUCGGGAGCCUCCACCCAGGCGCAUGGCUCCAUGAAGCAAGAGGAGGAGGCAGAGCGCGAGAGAUCCCGUCCGCCCCAGCCGCGUCUGGGCCAGGAGAAAAGCAAAACCAUAUUCCUGCUGCUGUCAGUUUUGAUGCACUGAGAAAACUUCAGAGACCUAAGCUUUUUCCAGAGAAGAGAAGCUUUACUGGUGUUCCAGCCCUAAGGCUCAUAUGACAUUAACAGACAAGACACUUUUCAGAAAGACAGGCAACGUGUUGGACCUUCCGGAGCUUCUCAGAAGACAGAGGGUUUUCUUUUGAGUUUCACUCUUGUUGCCCAGGCUGGAGUGCAAUGGCACCAUCUCAGCUCACUGCAACCUCCACCUCCCAGGUUCAAGUGAUUCUCCUGCCUCAGUCUCCUGAGUAGCUGGGAUUACAGGCAUGCGCUACCACGCCCGGCUAAUUUUGUCUGCCUUCCUUCCUUUCUUUCCUUUCUUUCUUUCAACGGAGUUUUGCUCUUGUUGCCCAGGCUGGAGUGCAAUGGCGUGAUCUCGGCUCACCGCAACCUCUGCCUCCCGGGUUCAAGCGAUUCUCCUGCCUUAGCCUCCCAAGUAGCUGGGAUUACAGGCAUGUGCCACCACGCCCGGCUACUUUUGUAUUUUUAGUAGAAACGGGGUUUCUCCAUGUUGGCCAGGCUGGUCUCGAACUCCCGACCUCAGGUAAUCCGCCUGCCUCGGCCUCCCAAAGUGCUGAGAUUACAGGCGUGAGCCACUGCGCCAGGCCUAAUUUUGUAUUUUUUAGUAGAGACUGGGUUUCUCCAUGUUGGUCAGGCUCGUCUCGAACUCCGGACCUCAGGUGAUCUGCCUGUCUCGGCCCCCCAAAGUGCUGGGAUUACAGGUGUGAGCCACUGCGCCGGGCCUGGCAACUCACUUUCAAGCUGGCUGGGCUUGGCUCCUCACAUUUGUGCAUUCUGAACACAGGCUGCAGGGACAGCUGCUACCCCCAGGGAAAGCUCUUUUCGUGGUGAAGGGAGAAGCAUAAAAAGGCAAGCUGCAUUGUGCAUAUGCAUAUCUGUGUCUCUCCUUAUGUUGUGUCAUCCAAUAUCCCAUUGGCCAAAGCACGUCACAUAGCC